GGUUUCACGGAGCAUAAAUGUGGGAUUUGGCCUGCCCAGUGAUGGAAUAUUAAACGGCCGCGGUAAUUUGACCGUGCAAAGGUAGCAUAAUCAUUAGUCCUUUAAUUGAGGUCUGGUAUGAAUGGUUGGACGUGGGAGCGACUGUCUAGGAAAGAUAUCCUUGAAUUUUAUUUUUAAGUGAAAAGGCUUAAAUUGGCCUGGAGGACGAUAAGACCCUAUAGAUCUUUACAUUUUACUUGUUAUGAAAUAUUGGUGGGGGAGUGUUUUGUUGGGGCGACAAAGAGAUAUAGUUAACUCUCAUUGUUUUUAUUUACUUAUGGGUAUUUAGGUGAUCCGCUUGUGGUGAUUAGAAGAUUAAGUUACCUUAGGGAUAACAGCGUAAUUUUUUUUGAGAGUUCAUAUCGACAGAAGGGAUUGCGACCUCGAUGUUGGAUUAAGGGAUCUUUGGUGGUGUAGGUGCUGCUGUAAGAGGGUCUGUUCGACCUUUAAUUCUUUACA
rnacentral:rRNA from 1 species